rnacentral:tRNA from 1 species
GUAAAUAAAAUAUUGAUACAAUUUCUAAAAACAUGUUUUCACUUUGUCAUUAUAGGGUAUUGUGAUGUCAUUAUUGUAACGUGGGUCGUACAAAGGGGACCAAGGGACGGCGUGUAAAGUGCUCAUAUUUUACUUUAAUGAAAACACUAAAUCAAAAACAACAAAACGAGGUUACAAGGAACAAAACAGAAAACAACUACCUACAAAACCCCAUAGACAAAUCCCAACUUAAAUAUGAUCUCCAAUUAGAGACAACACGAACCAGCUGCCUCUAAUUGGAGAUCAUCACAAAACUCAACCUAGAAAUAGAAAAACAAGAACUAAACAUAGACACAAAAAAAACAUAGACUGCCCGCCCAUAUCACACCCUGACCUAACUACACAGAGAAAACACAGCUCUCCUAGGUCAGAGUGUGACAAUUAUAGGGUAUUGUGAUGUCAUUAUAGGGUAUUGUGAUGUCAUUAUAGGAUAUUGUGAUGUCAUUAUAGGGUAUUGUGAUGUCAUUAUAGGAUAUUGUGAUAUCAUUAUAGGAUAUUGUGAUGUCAUUAUAGGAUAUUGUGAUGUCAUUAUAGGAUAUUGUGAUGUCAUUAUAGGAUACUGUGAUGUCAUUAUAGGAUAUUGUGAUGUCAUUAUAGGAUACUGUGAUGUCAUUAUAGGGUAUUGUGAUGUCAUUAUAGCGGUAGAGAUACUCUCAAAGAUCGGCUAUGAAAAAGCCAACUGACACUUACUCUUGUGUUAGUGACUUGUUGCACCCUCGACAACUUCUAUGAUUAUUAUUAUUUGACCCUGCUGGUCAUUUAUGAACAUUUGAACAUCUAGGCCAUGUGCUGUUAUAAUCUCCACCCGGCACAGCCAGAAGAGGACUGGCCACCCCUCAUAGCCUGGUUCCUCUCCAGGUUUCUUCCUAGGUUUUGGCCUUUCUAGGGAGUUUUUCCUAGCCACCGUGCUUCUACACCUGCAUUGCUUGCUGUUUGGUUUUUUUUUGGCUGGGUUUCUGUACAGCACUUUGAGAUAUCAGCUGAUGUAAGAAGGGCUUUAUAAAUACAUUUGAUUUGAAAUUUGAUUAAUACGGUAAUGUGUGUAAAUCGGUGUGGAAUAAGUCAAUACUUUCUGAAGGAGAAGAAGAUUAUUGAUUACAUUGAAGAAGGGAGAGACAAAUAGUUGAAUUGAUCGAUCAUCUGAAAUGUGUCCAGUCAUUUCACUGCUUUGUCUUUGAGCAGUAGGUUUAGUUUAGUCAUUUAGCAGACACUCUUAUCCAGAGCGAUUUACAGUAGUGAAUGCAUACAUUUUUUUCUUCUCCGUACUGGUCCCCCGUGGGAAUCGAACCCACAACCCUGGCGUUGCAAACACCAUGCUCUACCAACUGAGCCACACGGGGCUACCCAGACUGAGCUACAGAAACCUGUUAUCAGGUAGGUACACACCUACUGCUCGUUGACACGCGCGAGCAGUGUGGGUACAAUAAUUGAUUAACAUCAUUUUCAUAAUCAAUAAAUAAAACUAAUUCACCACAAUGUUAGUUAUUUGAAGCCUAUUGGAUCAGUCAGUAGUCUACUAGCUGAGGUUUAUUCUCGUUUAUUAUGAGAAAUACAAGGCUGUAGUGUUCCCCCCCUUUGGCCACUAGAUGUCGCUGAGGUUUAUUAUCGUUUAUUAUGAGAAAUACAAGGCUGUAGUGUUCCCCCCCUUUGGCCACUAGAUGUCGCUACGGAACUAUCAGACAUUCCAAUGUGAGACCACAGAGAUCCGAUUCAAUUACAUUGUAGUCAUUUAGCAGACGCUCUUUCCCAGUGCCACUAGGGUUAAGUACCUUGCUCAAAAGGCUACAUCGACAGACUUUUUAUUCUUCACCUAGUCGGCUCGGGGAUUUGAACCAGUAACUUUUCGGUUACUGGCCCAACGCUCUUAACUGCUAGGCUAGCUGCCUAAUACAAGUAAGCAGUUGACUUAAUAUGGAAAUCUAAAGUGUAAAAUUUAAUAGUGAAAUAAAUGUGUGAAUGUCUCAGAUGGAAGGGAACCACAACACACAGAGAGAGAGAGAGAGAGAGAGAGAGAGAAACAGAGACAGAGAGAGAGAGAGAGAAACAGAGAGAGAGAGAGACAGAGAGAGAGAGAGAGAGAGAGAGAGAG